CCCCGCAGCCCGCUCCCCGAGGGGUGUCCUGGGGACUGGCGCGCUGUACCUGGUGGUCCGCAACCGAGCCGACUCACCCUGGCGCCGCUGCCGCCUGCCUCGCCUACCCCGGAACAGAAAGUGAAAGCGGGGCCGGGGCACAGGCAGGCGGGCGCGAGGUGCGCAGCUGCCUGCGCUCUCCCGGCAGGCGCGGGAGAGCCCUAGGCUGAGGCGGGAGUUGCGACGAGGGAAACCUGUGCGGUGGGACCGCCGUAACCCCGCCGGGAAUUCGCAAGAGUGCUGCACAAUAUUAAGGCUGGAUGGAAUGUCGAAAGAAAGAAAAAGGAAAGAAGGAAGGAAGGAAGGAAGAAACAAAGAAAGAAGAAAGAAAGAGAAAAACCCUCUUUAAACAAUCGAGGGUAAAUGAAAUAAUAAGACAGGAAAACGCAAGCUUUCAUGCUCACCAAAUGCUACAAGUUGGGACUGAGAAGACAUCAAAAUAAAAAGAAUUUAGUCAUAUGGCUCCCGACCUCACUUUGCAUAAGAAAACAUCAUACAUGAAUGGAUAAAGAAAUUGUGGUUUAUAUACACAAUGGAGUACUACAUGGCAAUGAGAAAGAACGAAAUAUAGCCCUUUGUAGCAACGUGGAUGGAACUGGAGAGUGUGAUGCUAAGUGAAAUAAGCCAUACAGAGAAAGAUACCAUAUGUUUUCACUCUUAUGUGGAUCCUGAGAAGCUUAACAGAAACCCAUGGAGGAGGGGAAGGAAAAAAAAAAAAAAAGAGGUUAGAGUGGGAGACAGCCAAAGCAUAAGAGACUCUUAAAAACUGAGA
rnacentral:lncRNA from 1 species